rnacentral:tRNA from 1 species
GACCGCGUAGCUCAGUUGGAAGAGAAUUGGGCCAGUAUUCCAAAGGUCGUAGGUUCGAAUCCCACCGUGGCCG